rnacentral:lncRNA from 1 species
UGGACUCCUGCACAUUCACAGUCCUGGAAGGAGCCUGUCCACAUUGGCAUUCUGGAAGUCCAUAAAAGACAAACGCAUAUGCAGUCCCCGAGAAAGCAUUGUUGUAAACAAAUCUGCACUAGAUGGAAACUCUGUUAUGUGGUGCCGGCAUGCAUGGAAGAGAACCCGAAAGGAAGAAGCUAUACGACUGGGGACACAUGUCUUAGAAGCACACUCAUUAGAUAAAGUGUCGCAUACUCUUUGAUAAGUGACUCAGAACACCCGUGUCCUUCCCAACAUUGGAUGCAAUGCUAAAGACAUGAUGUUGCUCCUGCUGGACCACACCUUGAAGGAAUUGCCUACCCCACCUCAC